rnacentral:rRNA from 1 species
UACGGGGGGGGCAAGCGUUGUUCGGAAUUACUGGGCGUAAAGGGCUCGUAGGCGGCCAACUAAGUCGGAUGUGAAAUCCCCAAGCUUAACUUGGGAACUGCAUCCGAUACUGGAUGGCUUGAAUCCGGGAGAGGGAUGCAGAAUUCCCAGGUGUAGCGGUGAAAUGCGCAGAUAUUAGGAAGAACACCGGUGGCGAAGGCGGCCCGCUGGGCAGGAAGGAAGCGUAAGCUUCCGGCUGACGCUGAGGCGCGACAGCGUGGGGAGUAAACAGG